UACGUAGGGUGCAAGCGUUGAUCGGAAUUACUGGGCGUAAAGCGUGCGCAGGCGGCUUUGCAAGUCAGAUGUGAAAUCCCCGGGCUUAACCUGGGAACUGCAUUUGUGACUGCAUGGCUAGAGUGCGGCAGAGGGGGAUGGAAUUCCGCGUGUAGCAGUGAAAUGCGUAGAUAUGCGGAGGAACACCGAUGGCGAAGGCAAUCCACUGGGCCUGCACUGACGCUCAUGCACGAAAGCGUGGGGAGCAAACAGG
rnacentral:rRNA from 1 species